CUUUCUUCUUUCUUUCUUUCUUUUUUUGUAUUUUAGUAGAGAUUGAGUUUUGCCAUGUUUUCCAGGCUGAUCUCAAACUUCUGAUUACAAAAAAUCCACCUGCCUCAGCCUCCCAAAGCAUUGGAAUUACAGGCAUGAGCCAUCACAGCUGUCUACAAUAUACUUUUACAUUUAUGAUUUAGGUGAUGUGUUCUUCUCUUUCUGUCAGGUGCGGGAUGGUUAAAUAUCACUGGACCUAGCACCUAGGGAAUGUGACUCUUGUCUUUUGCAUCAGCCCCACUCGUUUUGAGAACUGUAACAUAUCACUGGGCCAAACACCUAGAAGAUGGGAAGUGUCUGCCUAUGCCCUGCAAACAGGGCUUUAGCCCUACCACUCUCAAGAGCCUCGUGACAUAUCUCUGCAUUCAUCAUCUAGGAGAUGUGACUCCUCCCUGCUGCCUGCGCUCUGCCUACAGGGAAGACCAUAACAACAUUUGGCCCAGCAACACGGUGAUGUGUUUUUUCCCAGGGCCUUGCUCACAGGGAGCAUUGUGACAUAUCACUGGAACCAGCAUCCAGGGCUGUGACUCUGUGUCCUGCUGUUAGAACAGGAUUGUAACAUAUCACUGACCAAGCACCCAGGUGAUGUGACUCUUCUGCCUGGUGCCUGCCUUCAGGGAAAAUUGUGACAUAUGCCUGGCCUAGCACCAAAGUGAUGUGGCUCUCCUGCUACCUCUAUGCACAGAUGGGUUGGUGAUGCUCAGACAAAUAUUCAGCACACCUGUGAGUCUGCGACUCCAGUAAUCAUCCACAGUCUGCAGGAGAAAUUGAGGCUCUCACCAACAAAUCAAGUGCACAAUUGAGAUUGCGACUCUUGUACUCAGACCCAACAUACAGAAUGUGUUGACUCUCAAUUUUAAAACCAGAACAUGUGUGAGAUUAUUAAUCUGAUCUCUAAACCAUCCUGCAAGUGUGAUUGUGACACAAGUCUCUGUUCAGUACUUGAGUGAUUUGACUCCUUUGCCUGGGCCCAGUCCAAAGAUGUAAUUGUGACAUAUCACUGAAACCAGCAUAUAGGAGAUGUGUCUCCAUACUCCUGCCUUGGUGCUGCCCACAGUGGGCACUGUGACAUAUCACUGGGCCUUGUAUCCAAGUGAUGUAAGUCUCUUCUUUCUUGAUACUGACCACAGGAGACACUAUGACAUAUCCCUGGGCCUCAAGCUCAGCUUAUGUCAUUCUCCUAUUUGUUCUCUGUCCACAUGGGCCAUUGUGACAUACUGCUGAGUUUGGCAUCCAUGUGAUAUAACACUUCAGCCUCAGCUUUGCUCACUUGGGGCAUUGUGAUGUAUCUCUGCACCCAUCACUUAGAUGAUUCAACUCUUUUCUUCUGUCUCAUCUGUGCUUAAAACGGGCAAUUGUUACCUAUUGCUGGGUCCAGCAUGUAGCUGAUGUGUCUCUUCUCAUCUUCCUAAGGACUGCCUGCAGGGGAUAUGGUGACAUUUUACUUUGCCCAGCACCAAGAUGACUUGAAUCUGCUGCCUUUGUUCUACUUUCAGAAGACAUUGUGACAUAUCGCUGGGCCUAGCACCAAGGUGAUGUGAAUCUUCUGCCUGGACCUGCUCACAGAGGGAAUUGUUACAUAUUUUUGACUUCAUCAACUAUUUGAUGUGACUCUCCUCUCUAACCUGGGCCUUGCCCAUAAAAAACAUUGUGGCUUAUCUCUGGGCCCAAAACCUAGGUGAUGUGACUGUCUUCUUAGGGUCAUGCCCACAGUAGAGAGAUGCCUUAUUGCUAAACCCAGCACACAGGUGAGGUGAUUCUUCUGUCUGGUCCCUGCCCACAGGGGUCAUGAUGACAUCUCUCUAAGCCCAUCACCUAGAUUAUGUGAGUUCUCUUUUUCUUCUGUUAGCUAUAUAGAAGAUUGUGACAUAUUGCUUGGCCCAGACCUCAUGUGAUGUGAAUCUCCUCUCAUGCCUUGGUCCUGUUUUUUUUUGGCCGUUGUUGUUUUGUUUUGUUUUUUGAGAUGGAGUCUUGCUCUGUUGCCUAAGCUGGAGUGCAGUGGCAUAAUCUAGGCUCACUGCAACCUCUGCCUCCUGGGUUCAAGUUAUUCUCCUGCCUCAGCCCCUGAAUAGCUAGGAUUAAAGGUGAGUGCCACCACACUCAGCUAAUUUUUGUAUUUUUAGUAGAGAUGGGGUUUCACCAUGUUGAUUAGGCUGGUAUUGAACUCCUGACUUCGUGAUCAACUCGCCUCUGCCUCCCAAACUUUUGGGAUUACAGGCAUGAGCCACCAUGCCCAGUCAAGAUGAUGAUACAUUUCUAAACCCAGGUUAUAGGCAGGUGAGGGUUCUUCUACCUAUACACACGUUUAAAGGGAUGUUGAAUCUCACACGUGGUCUCAGGGCCACAGGUACAAGCAUGGGUCUUCACCAGCAUGAAUAUCUCAGAGCAUACUGCGACUCUCCAGUGUAAUGUAUAAAGCUCUCAGGUGGGACAGUGUCCUAACAGGAUCCAGAACACAGAAAAGAUGUUGAUGCUCCUAUGCACACCCAGGUCACAGUAAAAUAUGUCAUUUUCCCACAUAAUCAUAGCCCAAUGUUGAGAUUCUGCAUCUCACACCUGAAAGAAGUUGAAAGAUGGAAAAUUGACUCUCUUAUAUAGAUCUGGUCUACAGGUAGGUUGGUGACAUUCAGAUCAAAAUUAAGUACACUUGUGAGGCUAUAACUCUUCUAAGAAGACACAGCUCACAGGAGCAACUGAUGCUCCUAUGAACAAAUCCAGUCCGUGAUUGAGAUUCUAACUCAUGUACUUAUUGUCAGGCCUCUGAGCCCAAGCUAAGCCAUCAUAUCCCCUGUGACCUGCACGUAUACAUCCAGAUGGCCUGAAGCAACCGAAUAUCCACAAAGGAAGUGAAAAUAGCCGUAACUGAUGACAUUCCACCAUUGUGAUUUGUUCCUGCCCCACCCUAACUGAUACGAUAUAUUCUCCCUCUGCCCUGAAGAAGGUACUUUGUAAUAGUCUCCCCCCACCUUAAAAAGGUACUUUGUAAUAUUCUCCCCACCCGUGAGAAUGUACUUUGUACACCUAUCCCAAACCUAUAAGAACUAAUGAUAAUCCCACCACGCUUUGCUGACUCCUUUUUUGGACUCAGCCCACCUGCACCCAGGUGAAAUAAACAGCCUUGUUGCUCAC
rnacentral:lncRNA from 1 species